GAGGAGGAAGCAUUAAAUAUGCGGUUAACUUGAAAUUAACAGAUGGUAGUGAGAUCUGCCCUUUCUUG
rnacentral:tRNA from 1 species